rnacentral:rRNA from 1 species
UACGAAGGGGACUAGCGUUGUUCGGAAUCACUGGGCGUAAAGCGCACGUAGGCGGAUUUGUAAGUCAGGGGUGAAAUCCCGGGGCUCAACCUCGGAACUGCCUUUGAUACUGCAAGUCUCGAGUCCGAUAGAGGUGAGUGGAAUUCCUAGUGUAGAGGUGAAAUUCGUAGAUAUUCGCAAGAACACCAGUGGCGAAGGCGGCUCACUGGCCCGAUACUGACGCUGAGGCACGAAAGCGUGGGGAGCAAACAGG